AGCUUUGCGCAGUGGCAGUAUCGUAGCCAAUGAGGUUUAUCCGAGGCGCGAUUAUUGCUAUUGAGAAAAAAGUUUAAAAAAUUUUUUAAAUUAAAAAAAAAAACUAUGGCCGGGCAUGGUGGCU
ensembl:snRNA U4 U4 spliceosomal RNA